GACGAACGCUGGCGGCGUGCUUAACACAUGCAAGUCGAACGGAAAGGCCCUGCUUUUGUGGGGUGCUCGAGUGGCGAACGGGUGAGUAACACGUGAGUAACCUGCCCUUGACUUUGGGAUAACUUCAGGAAACUGGGGCUAAUACCGGAUAGGAGCUCCUGCUGCAUGGUGGGGGUUGGAAAGUUUCGGCGGUUGGGGAUGGACUCGCGGCUUAUCAGCUUGUUGGUGGGGUAGUGGCUUACCAAGGCUUUGCCGGGUAGCCGGCCUGAGAGGGGGACCGGACACAUUAGGCCUGAGAUACGGCCCAGACUCCUAUGGGAGGCAGCAGUGGAGAAUAUUGCACAAUGGGCGGAGGCCUGAUGCAGCAACGCCGCGUGCGGGAUGACGGCCUUCGGGUUGUAAACCGAUUUCGCCUGUGACGAAGCGUGAGUGACGGUAAUGGGUAAAGAAGCACCGGCUAACUACGUG
rnacentral:rRNA from 1 species